rnacentral:rRNA from 1 species
AAACUGGGAUUAGAUACCCUACUAUGCCUAGCCAUAACACAACAAUUAAAUAACCUAUUGUUCGCCAAACAACUACGAGUACAAACUUAAAACUUAAAAGACUUGACGGUACUUCACACCAACCUAGAGGAGCCUGUCUAACAACCGAUACCCCACGAUAAACCCCACCCACUUUAGCCUUACAGUCUAUAUACCGCCGUCGCCAGCUUACCUUGUAAAAGUAACACAGUAAGCAUAACAGACCCCUCUAACACGACAGGUCGAGGUGUAGCUUAUAAGUGGGUAAAAGAUGGACUACAUUAUCUACAACAGAAUAUACGAAUAAACUAUGAAACAAGAAACUGAAGGAGGAUUUAGCAGUAUGUUAAGAACAGAAAACCUAACAGAAAUUAACGCAAUGAAGUGCGUACACACCGCCCGUCAC